AUGCUUGGCAUGGGCCGUCCGACGGGGUUCCAUGCAGCGACCGUCGGCCCGGCGAGCACAGGCUCGUCGGUCGCCCGGCCUACGCACAGCCAGUCGCCGACGUCGCGCGCCGCACCCAUGUCGCCCGGCUUUCCUCCACCCAGGCACGACGGCCAGACCCGUUUCUCGGCGUCGCUGGACGUGGGCUUGUUCGCGCCGUCCACACCACGCCCCGCGGCCGUCAUCGACCUCAACGUGACGCCUAGGUCCAGCAGCGGCGGGCAACCUUCCGUCGAGAUGCAAAGAAAGCAGGCGCGUGCACCGUUCACGGGCACCAUGCCGGCCCCCUGCGUGUUGUUUGACGAAAUGCCAACCUCAACGCCGACGGUGGACGACCCCUUCUACAACCAGUACAUGGAGGACAUGAUCUUCCAGGGUGGGCAUGGCUGUGCCUACGACCCCGAUGAGACCCAAAGUCAGGAUGGCCGCGCCCAGUACGUGCCCGAUGAAGAGGCCGACGACCGUGCUGACUACGACCAUGGUGAUUCGUGGCAUGAAGACGAUGACAUCUAUGUCGAAGGUGAAGAUGAAGAUGAAGCCAAUGAUGUUGAUAUUAGUGGCGCUCCAUUGUUCAUAGACGAGCUCACCCAAAGAGCGGAAGCACAAAAGAAGCGGAAGAGCAUUCGCACCAGUUCAUAUACACAAGAUGAGGACAAGUUGAUUUGCCAAUGUUGGAUGGAGAUUAGCCAAGAUCCAAGGACCGACGCGCAACAAAAGGGCAUUGUUUUUUGGACGAGAGUUCACAAAACAUUCCAUGAAAGGAAGAUGUUUGAGCCCUACCAAAUUACAAGCAACCGUGGCAUCGGUUCGAUUCAAAAAAGAUGA
rnacentral:rRNA from 1 species